GCCCGCCUAGAGCUCAAUCGGCCCGAGCUUCAGACUUUUAAGGCGGGGCGAUCCGUUACGCAAUCUGAAGGCUGCGAGUUCGACCCUCGCGGUGGGCU